rnacentral:rRNA from 1 species
UAGUGAGUUUGAUCCUGGCUCAGGAUGAACGCUGGCGGUCUGCUUAACACAUGCAAGUCGAACGGGCUCUUCGGAGCUAGUGGCGGACGGGUGAGUAACGCGUGAGAAUCUGCCCUCAGGUCGGGGAUAACAGUUCGAAAGAGCUGCUAAUACCGGAUGUGCCGCAAAGGUAAAAGAUUUAUUGCCGUGGGGAUGAGCUCGCAUCCGAUUAGCUAGUUGGUGGGUUAAUGGCUCACCGAAGGCGACGAUCGGUAGC